CCUACGGGUGGCAGCAGUGAGGAAUAUUGGUCAAUGGUCGGGAGACUGAACCAGCCAAGCCGCGUGAGGGAGGAAGGUACAGAGUAUCGUAAACCUCUUUUGUCAGGGAACAAAGGCGGGGACGUGUCCCCGGAUGAGUGUACCUGAAGAAAAAGCAUCGGCUAACUCCGUGCCAGCAGCCGCGGUAAUACGGAGGAUGCGAGCGUUAUCCGGAUUUAUUGGGUUUAAAGGGUGCGCAGGUGGUCUGUUAAGUCAGCGGUGAAAGCCCGGGGCUCAACCCCGGCCCGCCGUUGAACCUGGCAGUCUCGAGUGGGAGAGAAGUAUGCGGAAGGCGCGGGGUAGCGGUGAAAUGCAUAGAUAUCGCGCAGAAGUCCGAUUGCGAAGGCAGCAUGCCGGCUCCACACUGACGCGGAGGCACGAAAGCGUGGGUAUCGAACAGGAUUAGAUACCCCAGUAGUC
rnacentral:rRNA from 1 species